rnacentral:rRNA from 1 species
UUAUCGGAGAGUUUGAUCCUGGCUCAGGACGAACGCUGGCGGCGUGCCUAAUACAUGCAAGUCGAGCGGACAGAUGGGAGCUUGCUCCCUGAUGUUAGCGGCGGACGGGUGAGUAACACGUGGGUAACCUGCCUGUAAGACUGGGAUAACUCCGGGAAACCGGGGCUAAUACCGGAUGCUUGUUUGAACCGCAUGGUUCAAACAUAAAAGGUGGCUUCGGCUACCACUUACAGAUGGACCCGCGGCGCAUUAGCUAGUUGGUGAGGUAAUGGCUCACCAAGGCGACGAUGCGUAGCCGACCUGAGAGGGUGAUCGGCCACACUGGGACUGAGACACGGCCCAGACUCCUACGGGAGGCAGCAGUAGGGAAUCUUCCGCAAUGGACGAAAGUCUGACGGAGCAACGCCGCGUGAGUGAUGAAGGUUUUCGGAUCGUAAAGCUCUGUUGUUAGGGAAGAACAAGUACCGUUCGAAUAGGGCGGUACCUUGACGGUACCUAACCAGAAAGCCACGGCUAACUACGUGCCAGCAGCCGCGGUAAUACGUAGGUGGCAAGCGUUGUCCGGAAUUAUUGGGCGUAAAGGGCUCGCAGGCGGUUCCUUAAGUCUGAUGUGAAAGCCCCCGGCUCAACCGGGGAGGGUCAUUGGAAACUGGGGAACUUGAGUGCAGAAGAGGAGAGUGGAAUUCCACGUGUAGCGGUGAAAUGCGUAGAGAUGUGGAGGAACACCAGUGGCGAAGGCGACUCUCUGGUCUGUAACUGACGCUGAGGAGCGAAAGCGUGGGGAGCGAACAGGAUUAGAUACCCUGGUAGUCCACGCCGUAAACGAUGAGUGCUAAGUGUUAGGGGGUUUCCGCCCCUUAGUGCUGCAGCUAACGCAUUAAGCACUCCGCCUGGGGAGUACGGUCGCAAGACUGAAACUCAAAGGAAUUGACGGGGGCCCGCACAAGCGGUGGAGCAUGUGGUUUAAUUCGAAGCAACGCGAAGAACCUUACCAGGUCUUGACAUCCUCUGACAAUCCUAGAGAUAGGACGUCCCCUUCGGGGGCAGAGUGACAGGUGGUGCAUGGUUGUCGUCAGCUCGUGUCGUGAGAUGUUGGGUUAAGUCCCGCAACGAGCGCAACCCUUGAUCUUAGUUGCCAGCAUUCAGUUGGGCACUCUAAGGUGACUGCCGGUGACAAACCGGAGGAAGGUGGGGAUGACGUCAAAUCAUCAUGCCCCUUAUGACCUGGGCUACACACGUGCUACAAUGGAC